AAACAUUGCUUUAGGAACGGAUUCUAAAGUUAUACCUGCCCAAUUGUGUUUUUCAUGAAUGGCCGCGGUACUUUGACCGUGCUAAGGUGGCGCAAUCAAUUGGCCCUUAAUUGGGGUCAGGAAUGAAUGGAGUUCCGGGGUACAGCUGUCUCUUUACUAAUUAUUUGAAGUUCCUAUGUAAGUGAAAAAGCUUAUGUUGAGAAAAAGGGACGAGAAGCCCCUUAGAGUUUUACUUACUGUGAUGAUUAUAUUUAAGUUACUCAUAAUGGUUUAGUUGGGGCAACAUGGGAGCAAAGCAGUAAUUAACCUCCCAAAUAGGAUUAACCGAUAAUUUUAAAUUUGGAUAAACUACCUUAGGGAUAACAGCAUAAUUUUAGAAAUAAGUUUGUGACCUCGAUGUUGGACUAGGAAACUUAAAGGCUAGCCGUCUUUAAGGGAAGUUCUGUUCGAACUAUUAUUCCUACGUGAUCUGAGUUCAGACCGG
rnacentral:rRNA from 1 species